GACUCGUCACACUAUCAUUAACUGAAUCCAUAGGUUAAUGAGGCGAACCGGGGGAACUGAAACAUCUAAGUACCCCGAGGAAAAGAAAUCAACCGAGAUUCCCCCAGUAGCGGCGAGCGAACGGGGAGGAGCCCAGAGCCUGAAUCAGCAUGUGUGUUAGUGGAAGCGUCUGGAAAGGCGCGCGAUACAGGGUGACAGCCCCGUACACAAAAGCGCAUGUGCUGUGAGCUCGAUGAGUAGGGCGGGACACGUGGUAUCCUGUCUGAAUAUGGGGGGACCAUCCUCCAAGGCUAAAUACUCCUGACUGACCGAUAGUGAACCAGUACCGUGAGGGAAAGGCGAAAAGAACCCCGGCGAGGGGAGUGAAAAAGAACCUGAAACCGUGUAC
rnacentral:rRNA from 1 species